GAUGAACGCUAGCGGCAGGCCUAACACAUGCAAGUCGAGGGGUAGAACACUUCGGUGUUUGAGACCGGCGCACGGGUGCGUAACGCGUAUGCAAUCUACCUUGUACAGGGGAAUAGCCCAGAGAAAUUUGGAUUAAUGCCCCAUAGUAUAUAACCUUCGCAUGUUGGUUAUAUUAAAGUUCCAACGGUACAAGAUGAGCAUGCGUCCCAUUAGUUAGUUGGUAAGGUAACGGCUUACCAAGACGAUGAUGGGUAGGGGUCCUGAGAGGGAGGUCCCCCACACGGGUACUGAGACACGGACCAGACUCCGACGGGAGGCAGCAGUGAGGAAUAUUGGUCAAUGGGCGCAAGCCUGAACCAGCCAUGCCGCGUGCAGGAAGACGGUCCUAUGGAUUGUAAACUGCUUUUAUACAGGAAGAAACAACUCUACGUGUAGAGCCUUGACGGUACUGUAGGAAUAAGGAUCGGCUAACUCCGUGCCAGCCGCCGCAGUAAAAC
rnacentral:rRNA from 1 species